rnacentral:rRNA from 1 species
UACGUAGGGUGCAAGCGUUGUUCGGAUUUACUGGGCGUAAAGGGCGCGUAGGCGGCAAUUCAAGUCAUCUGUGAAAUCUCCGGGCUUAACUCGGAACGGUCAGAUGAUACUGCUUUGCUAGAGUGCGGAAGGGGCAAUCGGAAUUCUUGGUGUAGCGGUGAAAUGCGUAGAUAUCAAGAGGAACACCUGAGGUGAAGACGGGUUGCUGGGCCGACACUGACGCUGAGUGCGCGAAAGCCAGGGGAGCAAACGGG